rnacentral:rRNA from 1 species
UACGUAGGGUGCAAGCGUUAAUCGGAAUUACUGGGCGUAAAGCGUGCGCAGGCGGUUAUGCAAGACAGAUGGGAAAGCCCCGGGCUCAACCUGGGAAUUGCGGUUGAAACUGGCGAACUAGAAUCUGGCAGAGGGGGGUGGAAUUCCACGUGUAGCAGUGAAAUGCGUAGAGAUGUGGAGGAACACCGAUGGCGAAGGCAGCCCCCUGGGCUGAGAUUGACGCUCAGGCACGAAAGCGUGGGGAGCAAACAGG